GACGAACGCUGGCGGCGUGCUUAACACAUGCAAGUCGAACGGAAAGGCCCUGCUUUUGUGGGGUUCUCGAUUGCCGAACGGGUGAGUAACACGUGAGUAUCCUGCCCUUGACUUUGGGAUAACUUCAGGAAACUGGGGCUAAUACCGGAUAGGAGCUCCUGCUCCAUGGUGGGGGUUGGAAAGUUUCGGCGGUUGGGGAUGGAUUCGCGGCUUAUCAGCUUGUUGGUGGGGUAGUGGCUUACCGAGGCUUUGACGGGUAGCCGGCCUGAGAGGGUGACCGGCCACAUUGGGACUGAGAGACGGCCCAGACUCCUACGGGAGGCAGCAGUGGGGAAUAUUGCACAAUGGGCGGAAGCCUGAUGCAGCAACGCCGCGUGCGGGAUGACGGCCUUCGGGUUGUAAACCGCUUUCGCCUGUGACGAAGCGUGAGUGACGGUAAUGGGUAAAGAAGCACCGGCUAACUACGUG
rnacentral:rRNA from 1 species